CCCUUAGAUGUUCUGGGCCGCACGCGUGCUACACUGAGUGGAUCAGCGGGUCAGGUUGCGCGAAAGCGUUUCCUAAUCUUUAAAUCCGCUCGUGAUGGGGAUUGACGGUUGCAAUUUUCUGUCAUGAACGAGGAAUACCUUGUAAGCGCGGGUCAUCAUCCCGCGCUGAAUACGUCCCUACCCUUUGUACACACCGCCCGUCGCUCCUACCGAUUGAAUGUUCCGGUGAGCUCUUCGGACUGCGCGGUCUGCAGUUUCUGCGUUCCGUGCGGAAAGUUGUGCAAACCUUAACAUUUAGAGGAAGGAGAAGUCGUAACA
rnacentral:rRNA from 1 species